rnacentral:rRNA from 1 species
GAUGAACGCUGGCGGCGUGCCUAAUACAUGCAAGUCGAGCGAACAGACGAGGAGCUUGCUCCUCUGACGUUAGCGGCGGACGGGUGAGUAACACGUGGAUAACCUACCUAUAAGACUGGGAUAACUUCGGGAAACCGGAGCUAAUACCGGAUAAUAUAUUGAACCGCAUGGUUCAAUAGUGAAAGACGGUUUUGCUGUCACUUAUAGAUGGAUCCGCGCCGCAUUAGCUAGUUGGUAAGGUAACGGCUUACCAAGGCAACGAUGCGUAGCCGACCUGAGAGGGUGAUAGGCCACAUUGGAACUGAGACACGGUCCAGACUCCUACGGGAGGCAGCAGUAGGGAAUCUUCCGCAAUGGGCGAAAGCCUGACGGAGCAACGCCGCGUGAGUGAUGAAGGUCUUCGGAUCGUAAAACUCUGUUAUUAGGGAAGAACAAAUGUGUAAGUAACUAUGCACGUCUUGACGGUACCUAAUCAGAAAGCCACGGCUAACUACGUG